rnacentral:lncRNA from 1 species
GGAGGACGAGCUGCGCCCCCCGGCUUUGGUUGAGGUCUAAAGUCCCAGUAGAGCAAGCAGACCAUGAAACGUCACAUCAUUUUGGUCGUAGCUAGUUUUCUAUCCCUGUGAUAAGCGAGGGCUAUGCAACGCUUGGUUACCUAUUUUACUUUUUAAUGGACAAAAGUUUCUGUGUAAUGCUGCUAUGUUAAUUUCGUUUAAACUAAGUUUUGCUGAAACGAGCUAUGUAUUGCCUGAAACCUUUGUUUGGAUUGAUUCUGGCCAGCUAGUGUGUUGCUGUUCCGUUUGUGCCACCUUUUUACUGUUCGAAGUGUUCUUAUGCGUAUAUUUCAUAUCCCAUGUCCCCACUUAAAUGUUUACCCAUCCACGUAAAAACUAUCGAUCAAACUAAAGAAUUUAAUUUAUUCUGUGAAAAACGCUUUCUAAAAACAUGAAAAUUUUCUUCCUAGAAGAACCUACUAUCUAAGAUUGCGUUUUAAUUCUUGUCUUAGAUUUGUCCAAAAUACGUUUGUAUGAAAUUGUGUUUUAAUAUUAGAUACAUCUGUAUCUAGACAAAUCUAAGACAAGAAUUUUAAGAUAGAGGAAGUACAUCUAUAUACAUCCUUAUGUGUCUAUUUGAAAUUCAUAUGUGAUAGUCCAUUUGAAAUCUCUAAAAUGAUGAAUAUUAUUUAGGUCGUAUGAUAAUAUAUCAUGCUAAAGAAUAAGGUUUGCCAUUAAUCUCAGUUAUGUGAUAAUAUAUCGCACUCUAAAUUGGAGUCAGAAUAAGGUUUGACAUAUGAGGAAGACCCGUCAGAAUUUUCGGUAAAGUGAAGCAAACCACUCAAAGCAAGGUAAUAAGAUCGCAUGAGAAUCAAUGGGAACAACGUUCAAAGGAAAAAUGAUACCUGAAUUGGAAACGGUUUUCUAAGUCAGAAUAUUCAUACUUAUUCAUUGAGUAACCAAAUCUUGAGGACAAGAUUUAUCUUAAGGGGACAGGUUUGUGACACCCCAAUUUUUUGGUUCUUUUCUUUUCUUUUCUUUGAUUUUAUUUGGAUUUCCUUGGAUUUUGGACUCUAUGGACUUAAAACUGGGAAGAUCAUCUUUCUUUCUUCUCCUAAGUGAAUCAUCAUUCAAUAUUUUUCAAGAUCAUAUUUACCCUAGCCUAAUCAUAAUUUCCAUCCCUUUCAAACAUUCCUUUUUCUGUUAAAAGAAUAAUCAUCUUUACCCUAGGUUGUGAACAACCUAUAUUUUCGUCAUUCUCAAAAUUUCCAUAAAAUUCUCAUAAAUUCUUUGACCCGUCUGGACCUUGGAUAUGUAAGAAUAUUUAAGAUUCCAUGCUCAUGGUGAGCACACCAUCCAAUCCUUGAUUAUGAACUUGUUAUCAAGUUUGUGAAGCAACUAUAUUUUAUAUUGUUUCAUAAUUCUUGAAAUUUACGAGAACAUGCACCCUCCUAUAUGACUUCCAUCCACAAAAUUUGAGCUUAGUUAAUUUAGCCAAUAUUUCCCUAAAAUUCUCACAAGAUUCUGUUUAGAGAGGAUCAUUGUGAAGGACGUACCAUUUAUAUUUAUACAAAUGGUAUGAAAUUUUACCAGCGCCUCACUAUGCCCAAAUCAUCACUCUUCAUCAAAUUUCAGCUCAAUCCAACACUCCAUGUGAGUGCAACUUCAAAACCUAGUUUCUGGCCCAUUUUUGCAGUUGUGAAGCAACUACAUACAAAUAUUAUCCAAGUUAUUUGAAACUUGUCCAGAUCAUAGUCCUUCCUACCCCAACUCUCCGUGACAAUUUGUUUCUCUAAUUAAUCCAUCCAUUGGACCAAGCAUCCAGUCUUAAUUCUACUGUUACCAACUUUAGUCGAUGCUAUACUUCAUAACCAGCUUUAAUCGAACCAAGGCAGCAGGGGUGCUCCAAGAUGAAGGGACUUCACAUCGGACAACUUUUUCCAGGCCAUCAUGCCCUUCUCAUGCCAUGCCACACGAUGACUGCGCUGCUAGCAAUGCUAGUGCGCGUGCUCCGCUAGCUGUUGUCACUCUCUGGGCGUCGUCAAGCUUCAGGUUACAUCUUCCGACCCCAUCCGUGCGUCCCCUGGUGCCGUCCACCCUCCUCCUUCCACCUAGCCCUUGACUCAGCUCCUCCUCUAGAAGCUCCCUCAGUGGACCCCACCAUUGCCGUCCAUGGGUGCACAGUGCACCGUGGUGGCCGACAACCUCUGCUCGGCUCCGUCUCCUUGCCUCGCGUCCCUAGUGCCGCCCUGCCUACAUCAUUGAAUCUCCCUAACCUCUCCCGUCACUCUUAAUGGCCCCGCAACACACUGUCCUCGCCAUAGCUCUGGUAGGAUCCCCGGGGCGGCUCUCGGUCGAGAGCAUCUGCCCCUGGCUAUAUAUGCCGUCCACGACCUCGUCCAACCCCACCACUCGCCUCCUUCCUCACUCAAUUGACUCCCAGCGCCACCCACUCGAGCCGUAGCACUCUCCUUCCCCAACUCCGGUGAGAAGCCCCGCUACUCGCCCUCUGCACUGCUAGCUUGCUCCAGUUGACCCUAGCUCCAACCAGUCUCUCCAUGGAGUCCCUAGUGGUCUUCUGAACCUCCCUAACCCCUUUGCUACUCGGAUUGUCGCCGGAGUCACCAAAUCCGAGGAUCACUGCAGCUCGCAGCCGCUGGAUGCGCGUUCGUCGCCGCUCGACCACCUCUCUGAUGUGGCCGGUAGUGCUGAAGCUAUAGUCGACGAAUAUAUGUUCUAUAUUGGUUCUGUUCUCGUGAAAAUGCCAGCAGCUGAACCAGAAAUGGAAGCGAUCAAGCAGAAUUUUAGAACGCCUUCUUGCAAUUGGUGUUUAUUGGAAAUAAGUUCCAAUACGAUUCCAUGUAGGGGCGUGAGGGCCACGUCUUCUUUUCGUUUUAUCUACUAGUAGUACCAGUUACGUAGCUAUGUGGUUCGUUUGUUAGGGGAUCGAUGUGGCCGAAUAAUUAGUUAGUUAAUAUUUUGUUUAGUCCAAAUAGGUGAGUUAUAAAGAGUCCUACUCGGUUCGGUUCUGUGCCUGCGCACAUGUUAUAAAUAAAGGCUUUGCCCGUGUAUUAGGGGCAGAUCAGUUUUUGUUAUCGCGAGAUUGAUUUUGUUCGAGAGUUAUAGAUACAGAGAAAACGUCUCAUGUCGGGGGACAUCAAAUAUUGUCUUUGUUGCUGAUUCAUAUUGUUGUUGCUGCAUGUGGAGUUGAUCUAGUCUACUCAAUGCUAGUUUUUAAUCUUACGGUCUUGCAUUUUUGCUCGAUCGAAAUUUUUUGUUAUUGCUGCUAGUACUGUGAACGACUGGACUGACGAACACUCACCAUCUAGGCGAGUCUUUAUCAAGUGGUAUGAGAGCUAAGGUUGUUCACGAUACUGUGUUGAUCGAGAUGUCGACCUCGAUCGACAAGGAUGACGGGACUGCUGCUUAUUCUGAGGAAAUUGUACGUUUAGUGUAUGCGAAUGGCAUUCCUAAAAAUAUUCGGGAUGAUUAGACGUAUGCGAAUGGCAUUCCUAAAAAUAUUUGGGAUGAUUUUGACCACACAUGCAACUACGUCAAACAAUGUCAUGAUGCAGUCGAGGUGAAUUUUGGCAAAAUGAUUGAUGUUCUGAUCCUCGAGUUUGAUGUUUUGGCGGACACCAUCAAUACGCUGACGAUUGAUUCCACACCACCAUAGGCUACUCCGGUUGCUCCACUUCGUUACGCAACACUGGCUCGUGGCUGACAUGCCGGCGUGCAUGAUCGCCGUUUCGCGGCACAACCACAUGCUGGAGAUGAUAACCUCGAUGACGGCCUGCGUCGGGGUACGUGCCACGACCACGACACUUUGAGCCCUGUCCUGAAGUUUUCGCUCGUGGCGGUGAUGAGGACAUCAAUACCAUUGUUACACCCACAGCCCCUACUGCUACAUAUACGGGACCAAUUACUAGAGCUCGCGCACGCCAAUUAAAUUAUCAGGUACUUUCGUUUCUUGGUAAUGAUUCUAAUGUUCAUGAGAAUAUGAUGCUGCCUAAAUUGGAUAUAUUUGUUUUGCUUACAAAUGAAGGGCCUAGCUUGGAGAAGGAUGAACAUUGGAGCAAGAACAAGCAUGGAGAUGAUGCCAUGCGCAAGGGGAACAGGAACGGAGUUACAAGUGAUGAUUUCAGGACUUUGAAGCCACCGUAAUGGGUGCAUGAAGCCUUGGACGAAAUAUACAAGAUGCCACUUCAUAAAUUUCGUCCCGAGGCUAUUCUAGGUGCUGCGUCACCUUAUUAUUGGGUCAGACCCUUGUAAUUUUGAAAUACAUAAGUAUAGGCUAUUUUUAGAGUCCGUAUGUGUGGGGAAACAAGAGAUAGGGUUGAUUUCGGACCCCUCCACCAAGGGCCACGAAAUUCCCCCCUCUUCCUCCAUAUAUACAGCCCUUAGGGCACCGUUUAGACUUUGGGUUUUGUUUAGAUUAAAGUUCGCCAUAGCUGCAACUUCGCGUACUUUGUUUGUGUUCAACGACCAGACAAAGGCGUCACAGAACCCCACCUUGAUCAAUAAAGCUUUCAUCUUAUAUUCGCAAUAUCCAGAUUGCAUUCUCAGUUUCUUGCUUGUUUUUCGUUUGCUCGCAGGAAACAGACCCUCGUGGUCAGGUUGAUCGUGCUUCGGUGUGGUCAAUAACCUCUCGGAGUUGGUUUAGCGAUUGCUAAGGCGCGACGUCCUCGCACGUUCGUAGUCGGAUCGUGAAAGUCGACUUCCACCAAAGCGAUAUCCAUCAUCUCAUCGAAAGACGGGACACCUUUGCCUCUAUCAGGCGGACCGCAUGACCGAGUUGGUCAAGCUACGCGUGUGCCUUUAGAUGAUGUAAUUGGGCGCAUAAAAUUUUUGAUUCCUUCGUUCUCUGGCAAGUGUGAACCAGGAGGCUAUUUGGAGUGGGAGAUGCGUGUUAAUCAAAUUUUUGACGGCCAUGAUUAUGGUGAAGAGAAGAAAGUUCAACUUGCUGGAAUUGAGUUCACCGGUUAUGCACUAAUUUAGUGGAAUCAAAUUUUUCGUUCAAGACACCGCCCAAUGACUUGGAGAGGGAUGAAAGAAUUCACGAGGCGGCGUUUUGUUCCUGAGCAUUAUAAAAGAGAUAUGUACAACAAGUUAGAACGACUCUCUCAAGGUAAUAUGAGUGUACAUGAAUAUUAUAAGGAGAUGGAAUUGCUUAUGAUACGUACAAGGACAAGAGAGGAUCCAGAGGCGACUAUGUCACGUUUCUUUAAUGGGCUAAAUAUUGAGGUGCAGGAUCAUAUUGAGAUGGUGGUUUACUACAACAUACAAGAUCUUGUGCACCAAUCUGUGUGUGUGGAACAACAGAUUAAGCGACGCCAAGUCAGCGCAGUUCCUAUUACCACUUUGAACACAUGGCGACGCUCACAACAUAAGAGCGAGGAUGUUGGUCCUAGCUCUAGGACGACAACAUAAAAUCGCUCUCAUGGUUCCGUGCAAAAGGAUGCUUCAAACUCAGGACUGUUGAGGGUUCAUUCUAGUGCGCAGUCGACCACACGUACUAGUGAUAUAGAGUGUUUCAAGUGUGGAGGAAGGGGGUAUAUGAGGCGUGAAUGUCCUAAUGAGAAAAGAGUGCUGCUCACAAGAGAUGACUAUGCAUCUUCAAGUGGUGAAGAGCCAAUUUCCGACACUUCUAGUGAAAAAAUUGAAGAUGCUGAAAAGGUGACUGCUAGUUUUGAAACUGCCGAACCAUAUCCGUCUUUGAUGGUAAGGGGCAACGUUGGAAUAUUUUCAAACUCAAUGACAAAUCAACAACACCAAUUGUAAGUUGAUCAUAGAUGGAUGAAGCUACACCAAUGCGGUCAACAAGGGAUUGGUGGAAGCUUUGGGGUUACCUGCAUGGAAGCACCCUCAACCACACUGCAUUGAGUGUUUAUAUUACUUGGGCAGAUUGAAAGUUACUCACAAGAUGCGUGUCAAUUUUUUAGUUAGCGGCUAUAACGAUAUAGUUAUCUGUGACGUCUUGCCACUGGAUGCAUGCCACUUGUUGUUGGGGAGAUCAUGGCAGUAUGAUCAUCACGCCACCCAUGACAGAAGGUCCAACACUGUAAGUGCAUCUAGUGCCACCCCUAAUUGGUUUUGGAGUAUUGAUGACAAACUUGGUUGAGGAACUAAUGUGUUUGUGAGAAUUGCAGGAUAACACAGGUAGUAGUCCCAUAUUGAUUCGGUUUACCUGCCAGAGAUGACCCCCUAAAAAUGUGUGAAGACAUUGAAGACAAUGGUGGAAUGUGAAGAUAUUCACGUUGAAGACUAUGACAUGGGAAGACAUCGUAUGAAGACUAUGGAGUGCGAAGACAUAGUUGUUCCAUAGUUUCCUUUUCUUCUUUGUUGAGUCAUAGGAACCACCGCACUGUUAAGUGGGGUCCAAGUGAACAAAGUCAGAGUGACUGAAGUGAUGCUCAACCAAAUCCUAUGUCUUCGAGAGAAGACAAUGAGAGCAAAUCUUAUCCAGAGCUGGAUGAGUCAGCUUUACUUGUAGCCCAAGUCAAGCUACCGCAUGUGUUUGAAAUCUGACCGUUGGACACGUGUCAGUUCCUUAGUGACCCAAGGUCAUUUUGGACAAAUCAGGUCGGGUUGCCUCCUGGCUAUAAUAGCCCACCCCCUAGACCAUAAAUUGGUGGCUGCUCAGAGUUAGUGCACGGCUUUUGUCGUUUGAGAGCAACCCACCUCCGAAGCCUUUGAGAGAGUAUUCCUUGCGAGGACAAAGCCCAAAACACCCAGAGCCAAAGUGUGUUAGGCAUCACUAAAGUCUUUAUGUAUGCAUGAUCUGAAGACUUAUUACACUUGAGGACUGUGAAUCCUCCAGCCGGUUAGUUGUCGCGUUCUGAGCAUCCAAGAGUCAUUGUGGAUUGCCAGUGAACGAAGUCUGUGAAGGUUUGGAAGCCUCCCUUGAAGACUUACCAGAGUGAUUGGGCGAGGACUAAGUGUUCUUAGCUCAAGGGAAAUAAGGUGAAGACGCGGUCUUCUGAGUUGAAUCUCAGCCUCCCUAACCAGACGUAUAAUUGUCACAACAACUGGAACUGGUCCAACAAACCCCUUGUCCUCUCUGAGCAACUGGUUCUAUCCUUCCUCUCUCCCUUUACUUACAGUUUGUCUUCAUGAAGUCAUUGCCUAUUUGUCUGAUCUGUUUGACUUCACUGUGUGAAGACUGUUUACUGUUUGGCUUCAUACUAUCUUCCAUCCUGAUCCAUACAACCUAGCCGCUGAUAGUCUUCGUGCUUUUACUACAUUGCUUACUUGACUAUGGCUUGUCUAGUGUAGUCUACCUUCCGCUGCAUGUCAAUAGGUUCAUUUCUAUCAUUUGUCUUCAAAGCAUUCGUGUUUUGAAGACUUCCAUAAAAAUCGCCUAUUCACCGCCCUCUAGUCAAAUACUAGCACUUUCAAUUGGUAUCAGAGCAAGGUGCUCCCUUAUUCUGUGUGAUUCGGUUUAACCACCUGGAGUUUAGCUAUGUCGACUGCUGAUAAUCCACAAGUGUAUGGGAUCGCAACAACUUUCGAGGGUAGAGUAUUCAACCCAAAUUUAUUGAUUCGACACAAGGGGAGCCAAAGAAUAUUCUUAAGUAUUAGCAGUUGAGUUGUCAAUUCAACCACACCUGGAUAACUUAGUAUCUGCAGCAAAGUAUUUAGUAGCAAAGUAGUAUGAUAGUAAUGGUAACAGUGGCAAAAGUAAAGAUAAUAGUUUUGUAGCGAUUGUAACAAUAACAACGGAAAAGUAAAUAAGCGAAACACAAGAUGUGAAAAGCUCAUAGGCAUUAGAUCAGUGAUGGAUAAUUAUGUCGGAUGCGAUUCCUCAUGUAAUAGCUAUAACAUAGGGUGACACAGAACUAGCUCCAGUUCAUCAAUGUAGUGUAGGCAUGUAUUCCGAAUAUAGUCAUACGUGCUUAUGGAAAAGAACUUGCAUGACAUCUUUUGUCCUACCCUCCCAUGGCAGCAGGGUCCUAGUGGAAACUAAGGGAUAUUAAGGCCUCCCUUUAAUAGAGAACCGGACCAAAGCAUUAACACAUAGUGAAUACAUGAACUCCUCAAACUACGGUCAUCACUGAGAAAUAUCCCGAUUAUUGUCACUUCGGGGUUGUCGGAUCAUAACACAUAAUAGUUGACUAUAGGCUUGCAAGAUAGGAUCAAGAACACACAUAUAUUCAUGAAAACAUAAUAGGUUCAAAUCUGAAAUCAUGGCACUCGGGCCCUAGUGACAAGCAUUAAGCAUAGCAAAGUCAUAGCAACAUCAAUCUCAGAACAUAGUGGAUACUAGGGAUCAAACCCUAACAAAACUAACUUGAUUACAUGGUAAAUCUCAUCCAACCCAUCACCGUCCAGCAAGCCUACGAUGGAAUUACUCACGCACGGCGGUGAGCAUCAUGAAAUUGGUGAUGGAGGAUGGUUGAUGAUGACGACGACGACGAAUACCCCUCUCCGGAGCCCCGAACGGACUCCAGAUCAGCCCUCCCGAGAGAGAUUAGGGCUUGGCAGCGGCUCCAUAUCGUAAAACGCGAUGAAACUUUCUCUCUAAUUUUUUUCUCCAUGAAACGGAAUAUAUGGAGUUGGAGUUAAGGUCGGUGGAGCGUCAGGGGGCCCACAAGAGAGGGGGGCGCGCCCAGGGGGGAGGGCGUGCCCCCACCCUCGUGGACAGGGUGUGGGCCCCCUGGUCUUGAUUCUUUCGCCAGUAUUUUUUAUAUUUUCCAAAACUUGUCUCCGUGGAUUUUCAGGUCAUUCCGAGAACUUUUGUUUUCUACACAAUAAACAACAUCAUGGCAAAUCUGCUGAAAACAUCGCCAGUCCGGGUUAGUUUCAUUCAAAUCAUGCAAGUUAGAGUCCAAAACAAGGGCAAAAGUGUUUGGAAAAGUAGAUACAUUGGAGACGUAUCAACUCCCCCAAGCUUAAACCUUUGCUUGUCCUCAAGCAAUUCAGUUGAUAAACUGAAAGUGAUAAAGAAAAACUUUUACAAACUCUAUUUGCUCUUGUUGUUGUAAACAUGUAAAGCCAGCAUUCAGGUUUCAGCAAGUAUUAUGAACUAACCAUACUCACAAUAACACUUAGAUCUCACAAUUAUUCAUAUCAAUGGCAUAAUCAGCUAGCAAGCGAUAAUAAUAAAACUCGGAUGACAACACUUUCUCAAAACAAUCAUAAUAUGAUAUAACAAAAUGGUAUCUCGCUAGCCCUAUCUGAGACUGCAAAACAUAAAUGCAGAGCACCUUUAAAGAUUAAGGACUGACUAAACAUUGUAAUUCAUGGUAAAAGAGAUCCAGUCAAUUCAUACCCAAUAUAAACCAAUAGUAAUGAAUGCAAAUGACAGUGUGCUCUCCAGCGGGUGCUUUUUAAUAAGAGGAUGAUGACUCAACAUAAAAGUAAAUAGAUAGGCCCUUCGCAGAGGGAAGCAGGGAUUUGUAGAGGUGCCAGAGCUCGAUUUUAAAAUAGAGAUGAAUAACAUUUUGAGCAGUAUACUUUCACUGUAAACGCAACAACUAUGAGAUGGCGAUAUCUUCCAUACUACAUGCAUUAUAGGCAGUUCCCAAACAGAAUGGCUUGCUCGAAACAACGAGUGCCUCCAACUAACAACAACCCUCGGAGAGUUUUGUUUAAUUAUAUUGAUUUGCUUUGAUCUUUUUGGAUCAUGGGACUGGGCAUCCCGGUUACCAGCCCUUUCUCGUGAAUGAGGAGCGGAGUCCACUCCUCUUGAGAAUAACCCACCUAGCAUGGAAGAUACAGACAACCCUAGUUGAAACAUGAGCUGCUCGAGCAUACAAAACAAAAUUUCAUUUGAAGGUUUGGAGUUUGGCACAUACAAAUUUACUUGGAACGACAGGUAAAUACCGCAUAUAGGAAGGUAUGGUGGACUCACAUGGAAUAACUUUGGGUUUAAGGAGUUUGAGUGCACAAGCAGUAUUCCCGCUUAGUACAAGUGAAGGCUAGCAAAAGACUGGGAAACGACCAACUGAGAGAGCGACAACAGUCAUCAACAUGCAUUAAAAUUAAUUCACACCAAGUGCAAGCAUGAGUAGGAUAUAAUCUACCAUGAACAUAAAUAUCAUGAAGGCUAUGUUGAUUUGUUUCAACUACAUGCGUGAACAUGUGCCAAGUCGAGUCACUCAAUUCAUUCAAAGGAGGAUACCAUCCCAUCAUACCACAUCAUAAUCAUUUUAAUAGCAUGUUGGCACGUAAGGUAAACCAUUAUAACUCAUAGCUAAUUAAGCAUGGCACAAGCAACUAUAAUCUCUAAAUGUCAUUGCAAAUAUGUUUACUUCAUAAUAGGCUGAAUCAGGAAUGAUGACCUCAUCAUAUUUACAAAAAAAACAC